rnacentral:tRNA from 1 species
GGCGGUGUAGCUCAGUUGGUAGAGCAGCGGACUCAUAAGCCGAGGGUCACCCGUCCGAUCCGUGCACUGUUU